rnacentral:rRNA from 1 species
UGCGGUGAAUACGUUCCCGGACCUUGUACACACCGCCCGUCAAGCCAUGGAAGCUGGGUGUACCUAAAGUCGGUAACCGAAAGGAGCCGCCUAGGGUAAAACUAGUAACUGGGGCUAAGUCGUAACAAGGUACCC